rnacentral:lncRNA from 10 species
GCUCUUUGGAAACCAAGAAACACUCUGAAAAUGAAAAGGGUGGAAGAGUAAACUGUUCCUGUUUCUCCAUCUUGACAGGAAGCAGAAGUUCUCCUUAGCUGAUUUUUCUUCUUGCCUUAUACUGGGUUCUUUAACACCAGAACAAAAAUAAAUAAAUAAAAGAAUCUUCCAGAAAUUCAUGAAGAGACUUCAGGUCAGGAAAGCCUGAACUUUCUCAUCCAACACCCGUUCAAGUCGGAGGAUGCUGAUUAAUUCAUGAUGGAAAGGUAUCAAUUUCACAGCCCAGACCUCUACAUUCUUGAAAUGCUCUUCUCAUGGGAGACAUUAAAUAAGCUUUGAAUUAACUGAAGAACCAAUGAUGUGAUCCCUGGAUACUGGCAAUUGUUGCCCAAGAAAACCUCUCCCCUUGCUGUGGGACUGCUGGGCACCCAAAUAAUGCACCCAAAUAAUUUGAUAGCUCUUGUUACACAGCUCUUCUUGGACUAAAAGGCCCUCAGCAUUCCUGUCAAUUUCUACACUCCUGAAGCUUCAUCUGGAGACCUCUGUGGAUUCUAUAACUCAAAGACCCAGGCUGACGGCUGGUGGAAUAGCUACCAUCUCAAACAUGGCGUGAUGCUGCAUCAGAGAGAAAAAUAAGCUCUUGCAUUGACAAUGAAAUGUCUACCCUGUAGUGACUUGUGCUUACUUCCACUCACAAGUGAUUGCCCAGAGCUACUUACCUGGCUCCAAUCUACCACUGGUGCCAUGACACCCAGGAUGCAGCUGUAGGAACACCACUGGGUCCCUGGAUGUCAUGUAAGCCCUUAAGUAAAAGUGCCAUCAAAUGAUUUCUCAGAAAUUAUAAAGAAACAAAA